AUCAAUACUCAUCCAUAUCAAUACAUAUCGAUACUACUCAAUACACGUUAAUCCUCAGUAUCAAUAUCAAUACUCAUCAGGGUCCUGUUCUUUGUAAUCCAGACUAGUGUGUUGCUGUCAGGUUCAAUUGAUCCUGUUAACGUUCAUUCACAUUGAUUGAUUACUUAUUCUGACAGGAAGUUAGCUUAAAUAACAGUGUGCUCUUAUUUUGAAAUGUCACAGAUCAGUUAAAGUAACAACCUGAAACACAUCAAUCAGUCGUCAAUAUGAUCAAAGGAUUUAACAAUUACAGUAACAUUCAUAAGAACUACAGUAACAUUCAUAAGAACUACAGUAACAUUCAUAAGAACUACAAGAACUACAGUAACAUUCAUAAGAACUACAGUAACAUUCAUAAGAACUACAGUAACAUUUAUAAGAACUACAAGAACUACAGUAACAUUCAUAAGAACUACAGUAACAUUUAUAAGAACUACAGUAACAUUCAUAAGAACUACAAGAACUACAGUAACAUUCAUAAGAACUACAGUAACAUUUAUAAGAACUACAAGAACUACAGUAACAUUCAUAAGAACUACAGUAACAUUUAUAAGAACUACAAGAACUACAGUAACAUUCAUAAGAACUACAGUAACAUUUAUAAGAACUACAGUAAUGGAAGUAACAACUACAGUAACAUUCAUAAGAACUACAAGAACUACAGUAACAUUCAUAAGAACUACAGUAACAUUUAUAAGAACUACAGUAAUGGAAGUAACAACUACAGUAACAUUCAUAAGAACUACAAGAACUACAGUAACAUUCAUAAGAACUACAGUAACAUAAGAACUACAGUAACAUAAGAACUACAGUAACAUAAGAACUACAGUAACAUUUAUAAAAACUACAGUAAUGGAAGUAACAACUACAGUAACAUUCAUAAAAACUACAGUAACAAGAACUACAGUAACAUUCAUAAAAACUACAGUAACAAGAACUACAGUAACAUUCAUAAAAACUACAGUAACAAGAACUACAGUAACAUUCAUAAAAACUACAGUAACAAGAACUACAGUAACAUUCAUAAAAACUACAGUAACAAGAACUACAGUAACAUUCAUAAAAACUACAGUAACACAAGAACUACAGUAACAUUCAUAAAAACUACAGUAACACAAGAACUACAGUAACAUUCAUAAAAACUACAGUAACAUAAGAACUACAGUAACAUUCAUAAAAACUACAGUAACAUGAGAACUACAGUAACAUUCAUAAAAACUAUAGUAACAUUCAUAAAAACUACAGUAACGAGAACUACAGUAACGAGAACCACAGUAACAUUCAUAAAAACUACAGUAACGAGAACUACAGUAACAUUCAUAAAAACUACAGUAACGAGAACUACAGUAACGAGAACCACAGUAACAUUCAUAAAAACUACAGUAACGAGAACUACAGUAACAUUCAUAAAAACUACAGUAACGAGAACUACAGUAACAUUCAUAAAAACUACAGUAACGAGAACUACAGUAACGAGAACCACAGUAACAUUCAUAAAAACUACAGUAACAAGAACUACAGUAACAUUCAUAAAAACUACAGUAACAAGAACUACAGUAACAUUCAUAAAAACUACAGUAACAUGAGAACUACAGUAACAUUCAUAAAAACUACAGUAACGAGAACUACAGUAACAUUCAUAAAAACUACAGUAACAUAAAAACUACAGUAACAUUCAUAAAAACUACAGUAACAUUCAUAAAAACUACAGUAACAUAAGAACUACAGUAACAU